CUUGAUGGUUAUUUUGCCUUCAUCUUUCAGACAGCAAAAUGCCACUGCUAAGGAAGCUUGAGCUGGCCCUCUGACAUACAAUCUGAAUUCAAGAUAUUCACAGCCUGUUACUCAGAGGAGUGGAUGUGAAAACGUCAGCCAGGUCUGCCUGGAAGAGCUUACAAAUCUAAGCAACUUGGCGUGGGAACAUCCCCCCUGGACAGACAGGGGAGGCAGGCUCUGGGCUGCACUGAGGCUGCCUCUCUGCUACAAAGCAAGGCGUUCCUUUGAGUAAGGACACAGCCAAGAUGUAUGCAAGCACCAGGACUCGGGGUGCACCGUGAGACCUCCUAAGUGACUUGCCCAUGGGCAGACAGAUAAGUGGUGGCAAGCAGGAAUCAAGCCAACCUUCGUCCACGUCAAUACCACCUUUUUGGGGGAGUGUAGUUUCAGAGGAAAAAGAGGUACUGUACUGAGAAUGACUUCUCUGUGCUGACAUCAGUGAAGUAUUCAUCAUUUUGUACUGUUUGUUGAGCAUAGGCUGGUACAGGGCAAAUCUCCAAACACGCAUGCACAUACAUACUUUUUUGUGUGCUUAACCUUCCAGAUCUCCAUUCUUUUCCAGACAUUUAUAUAGAAUUGACCCAGGCUGAAGUUUCAUUUAGAAGAUAGUGCAUCCCUGUGACAAAUCUUUCAUCAGCAAAAUGGAGCAUGUUCUAAGUCAACAGAAGCAAAUGCAUUGGUAUUCUUCACCCUCUUAUUGCCUCAUAUGCCACAGUGUACAUGUGGAUUAGGUUGCCCUUGUACUUCCCAGAGAGUUCCCCAUAUCAAGGCACUGUCUGUUGUUCCACUAAAGCUGAUUUCUAGCUGCUGAGCCAGCACAAAAGGCAAGCCACAACCCAUUAUUAGUCUUUAAUAUGUAUAUUAAAAAAGACUAAAUAAUCUUCUAUUACCUGAAUGAAAUUACUUCAAAUGUGGGCUCCAUUCUUGGUCUCCCCUCCUUCCCCAACUGUUGUGUGCAAAAAUGUCUGAACAUACAAAUAUAUAAUCUCCUCCAUGUCAAGCCAUUGUAUAGUUCCCAAAUCUCAUCUUACCUGUAUCAGUACAAAUCAGAUUUCAGUGACA
rnacentral:lncRNA from 1 species